rnacentral:lncRNA from 1 species
AGAGAACGGGUUGGUUGCAACUCGCUGUGGGCACCGGAACAUGGGCUUGGGGAGCGUGCUGGAGGGUAGGCUCCCAGGGGAAUGGUCUUGUGUGGCAUUGUCUAUACUGUGUCCCCACAAGAGGCUUGGGGCCAUGAGCUCAUUCAGAGCUGAGCUAUACCUCUGGCCAGCAGGAAGCGCCCAGGCAGGACGGUGUACGCCCAGAUGCACAAUGAGAAGGAACAGGAGAUGACAAGUCCCGUGAGCCACAGUGAGGACGCCCAGAGCGCCAUGCAAGGCAACCACUCAGGUGUGGUCCUGAGCAUCAACUCUCG